AUGAACGCUGGCGGCGUGCCUAAUACAUUCAAGUUGAGCGAACAGACGCGUAGCUUGCUCCUCUGCCGUUUGCGGCGGCCGGUUGAGUUACACGUGGAUAACCUACCUAUAUUACUGGGCUUACUUCGGGAAACCGGAGCUAAUACCGGAUAAUAUUUUUCACCGCAUGUUUCAAUAGUGAAAUUCGGUUUUUCUUUCCCUUAUUGAUGGAUCCGCGCCGCAUUUGCUAGUUGGUAAGGUAACGGCUUACCAAGGCGACGAUUCGUAGCCGACCUGAGAGGGAGAACGGCCACACUGGAAGUGAGACACGGACCAGACGCCUACGGGAGGCAGCAGUAGGGAAUCUUACGCAAUGGGCGAAAGCAUGACGGAGCAACGCCGCGUGAGAGAUGAAGGACUUCGGAUCGUAAAACGCUGUUAUGAGGGAAGAACAAAAGUGUAAGUAACAAUGCACGUAUUGACGGUACCUAAACAGAAAGCCACGGCUAACUACGUG
rnacentral:rRNA from 1 species